ACUCCUACGGGAGGCAGCAGUGGGGAAUAUUGCACAAUGGGGGAAACCCUGAUACAGCAACGCCGCGUGAAGGAAGAAGGGUUUCGGCUCGUAAACUUCUAUCAAUAGGGAUGAAAAAAAUGACAGUACCUAAAUAAGAAGCCCCGGCUAACUACGUGCCAGCAGCCGCGGUAAU
rnacentral:rRNA from 2 species